UACGAAGGGGGCUAGCGUUGUUCGGAAUUACUGGGCGUAAAGCGCACGUAGGCGGGCAUUUAAGUCAGGGGUGAAAUCCCAGAGCUCAACUCUGGAACUGCCUUUGAUACUGGGUGUCUUGAGUAUGGAAGAGGUAAGUGGAAUUGCGAGUGUAGAGGUGAAAUUCGUAGAUAUUCGCAGGAACACCAGUGGCGAAGGCGGCUUACUGGUCCAUUACUGACGCUGAGGUGCGAAAGCGUGGGGAGCAAACAGG
rnacentral:rRNA from 1 species